AGUAUUUUCUCCCAGACAUCUGGAGGUGAUCCAGGCGGCUGGAGAUGGAAUCACAGAAGAGAGGGAAAAUGGCUAUCUGAAAAUAUUGGUACAAUAAGAUGGAGGGGAGGUUUCACCCAGUGAUUUUGAUGAGAAGUCCAGAAUUCUACAUGAACAAGAGAUGUCUUUGUUGGACAUGUAAAUCUCACCUCUCCUUUGAGAUGGACUAUAAUGAGCCCCCAAAGACCUUUUCUGAGUCUCGAUCAGGAAAAUGUUACCAGCAUCUUUAAUGACUGCUUAAGGCGAGAGCUUCAAAAGAAAGACAAACACCUGUAGAUCUGGGAUGGUUGCCAGGUGUAAAUAACAUAAUCAUAUGUUGCCAUCUUGGAUCUUGUUGCUAGGGGGGCUGAGAUGUAAAAUGGUCCAGGAAGACAGCCUGCUUAUUCUAUCACGUCAGGAAAGAAUAGUCCCAGUUUUGCAUCUGAGCAUGUUUAUGCUGUGGUUUAACUAGAUUAAUAAUCUGUUUUAAUUUUGUGAAUAGAUAUGUGAUUAAACAUACCUAUACUUUCUUUGUAACAUGGAAAAUUUAAUUAAGAGAGAAUUAGGAGGGAAUCUCUGAUCAGGUGAUACUCUGUCCGCUUU